AUUGAACGCUGGCGGCAUGCCUUACACAUGCAAGUCGAACGGCAGCGGACCUUCGGGUGCCGGCGAGUGGCGAACGGGUGAGUAAUAUAUCGGAACGUACCUUUCAGUGGGGGAUAACGUAGCGAAAGUUACGCUAAUACCGCAUAUUCUGUGAGCAGGAAAGCAGGGGAUCGCAAGACCUUGCGCUGAUUGAGCGGCCGAUAUCAGAUUAGCUAGUUGGUGAGGUAAAGGCUCACCAAGGCGACGAUCUGUAGCGGGUCUGAGAGGAUGAUCCGCCACACUGGAACUGAGACACGGUCCAGACUCCUACGGGAGGCAGCAGUGGGGAAUUUUGGACAAUGGGCGCAAGCCUGAUCCAGCCAUGCCGCGUGAGUGAAGAAGGCCUCGGUUGUAAGUACUCUUUCGGUCCGGGAACGGAAAGUACGCACAGUUAAGUACCUACGUGUGGUAGUG
rnacentral:rRNA from 1 species